GACAGAUAUAUAUAUUUAUCAUAUAUUUAGUACAAAAUACAGCUAUUUUGUAUAUCUAAUAAAGGUUGUUUUUCCAGUCUGUAUCACCUACCCUGUAUCACAUACCCCGUAUCGCAUAGCUAAACCCGUAUCGCAUACCCCGUAUCGCAUGGUAAAACCCGUAUCGCAUACCUUUUUUUUUUUUUUUUUUUUUACAUAAAGUUUUUUGUUUUUUUUUUUUGCUUAAGAAAAAAUUUCCUCAAAAUAGGUCAUUUUUUUAAUGACGUCAUUGCUUGGUAUGUAACGUCACGAACGUCAAGUUUUCUUAUUGUAUGUGACGUCACGAACAUCAAGUUUGCAUAUUUUUUGGCACACUAAAUGCAACUAUAAAAAAUACAAAACACUCAAUAAAUACAAUAUUAAACAAAAUAUUUUUAAAACAGCAGCAGGCAAAUGGUAAGGUAACCCAGGUGCUUUGUAUAAGCAGUUAUUUUAAGGCUUUGAACCAAGACAAAAGCAGAACUGAAGGUAACCCAGUGCUAAUCUAUCGGGAUCAGAAAACAGUUCAUAUAAUAUAAUACUCUUCUGUUGAAAUAUAUGAUAAAGCGUAUAAUACAUGGCAAAAUCCGUAUCACAUGCCGUAUCACCCUCGACCAAUAUCAUCCCUCGGGCCUAAAGGCCCUUGGGCUGAUAUUGAUGUCUCGGGAUGAUACGACAUAUGAUACGGAUUUUGCCAUGUAUUAUUCUCUAUAUAUAUA
rnacentral:lncRNA from 1 species